UCGAGCCACCAUCGGGCGAGGGGACCGUCUCCGAGAAGAAGAAGUACACCUUGUCAUUGUCCUGUUCCAGGGGCAGGCCUCACCGUGCAAGAGACUCUGGUCAGAGUCGGAACGCAGAGCUGGCCGAGGACCUCCACUUCGGAAGAUCAUGGCCUCUCGCCCCAGGAAGUCAGCGAUGCUGGCUAUCCCACCCCAGAGAUGAGAGCGGGGGGGAGCUGUCUGGGGACAUCAGUCCCAGGAGUUGAGGAUCCUGAGGCCUCCAGUCCUUCCAGAGACUCAGGGUCCAGAGCUUCCCCAGGUCAGUGAUGGUUCUUCCCAGGGACCCCAUGCCCCGUAGGCCCUACAGACACCUAUGAUCUCUUAGAGGUCAUUUCCCCCACCCUGAAUACUGACUGGGCGGCGGGGGGCACAGAAAGCCACAGAAGAGGGCCAAAGGGGAAAUGGGACUGAGGGCCUGAAUCUGGGGUGAGUGAUGGGACCUCCCCAUGCUCCCUGCCCCAGAACAGUCGCCACCUCACCCCACCCCAGAACCCUACACUCAGAACCUGAGGCCCUGGGCACUAAAGAGAUUUUAAUUUUGAGCUGGAGUUUGAGUUCCCAGGAUUCUAACAGCUCCUGCAGGUUGGGCCUCCCACAUGGACCGGCCUGGGCCCUCUGAUGGUGGUCAGGGAACUUGGGGGGCACUCAGAGAAGGAAGAACCUGGCCCAGGCCACAGAGCAGGCUGAGAAUGGGUCCAGCUCAGCUCUGCCCCUUCCUGGGACCCUCCUUUGCU